CUACUCCUGCGCAAGGUAACUAUGACCUCAUCACAGAGGUUCUACACCUGCGCAAGGUAACUAUGACCUCAUCACAGAGGUUCUACACCUGCGCAAGGUAACUAUGACCUCAUCACAGGGGUUCUACUCCUGCCCAAGGUAACUAUGACCUCAUCACAGAGGUUCUACACCAGCGUGCAAGGUAACUAUGACCUCAUCACACGGGUUCUACACCAGCGUGCAAGGUAACUAUGACCUCAUCACACGGGUUCUACACCAGCGUGCAAGGUAACUAUGACCUCAUCACACGGGUUCUACACCAGCGUGCAAGGUAACUAUGACCUCAUCACACGGGUUCUACACCAGCGUGCAAGGUAACUAUGACCUCAUCACACGGGUUCUACACCAGCGUGCAAGGUAACUAUGACCUCAUCACACGGGUUCUACACCAGCGUGCAAGGUAACUAUGACCUCAUCACACGGGUUCUACACCAGCGUGCAAGGUAACUAUGACCUCAUCACACGGGUUCUACACCAGCGUGCAAGGUAACUAUGACCUCAUCACACGGGUUCUACACCAGCGUGCAAGGUAACUAUGACCUCAUCACACGGGUUCUACACCAGCGUGCAAGGUAACUAUGACCUCAUCACACGGGUUCUACACCAGCGUGCAAGGUAACUAUGACCUCAUCACACGGGUUCUACACCAGCGUGCAAGGUAACUAUGACCUCAUCACAGAGGUUCUACACCAGCGUGCAAGGUAACUAUGACCUCAUCACAGAGGUUCUACACCAGCGUGCAAGGUAACUAUGACCUCAUCACAGAGGUUCUACACCAGCGUGCAAGGUAACUAUGACCUCAUCACAGAGGUUCUACACCAGCGUGCAAGGUAACUAUGACCUCAUCACACGGGUUCUACACCAGCGUGCAAGGUAACUAUGACCUCAUCACACGGGUUCUACACCAGCGUGCAAGGUAACUAUGACCUCAUCACACGGGUUCUACACCAGCGUGCAAGGUAACUAUGACCUCAUCACACGGGUUCUACACCAGCGUGCAAGGUAACUAUGACCUCAUCACACGGGUUCUACACCAGCGUGCAAGGUAACUAUGACCUCAUCACACGGGUUCUACACCAGCGUGCAAGGUAACUAUGACCUCAUCACACGGGUUCUACACCAGCGUGCAAGGUAACUAUGACCUCAUCACAGAGGUUCUACACCAGCGUGCAAGGUAACUAUGACCUCAUCACACGGGUUCUACACCAGCGUGCAAGGUAACUAUGACCUCAUCACAGAGGUUCUACACCAGCGUGCAAGGUAACUAUGACCUCAUCACAGAGGUUCUACACCAGCGUGCAAGGUAACUAUGACCUCAUCACAGAGGUUCUACACCAGCGUGCAAGGUAACUAUGACCUCAUCACAGAGGUUCUACACCAGCGUGCAAGGUAACUAUGACCUCAUCACAGAGGUUCUACACCAGCGUGCAAGGUAACUGACCUCAUCAGAGGUUCUACACCAGCGUGCAAGGUAACUAUGACCUCAUCACACGGGUUCUACACCAGCGUGCAAGGUAACUAUGACCUCAUCACACGGGUUCUACACCAGCGUGCAAGGUAACUAUGACCUCAUCACACGGGUUCUACACCAGCGUGCAAGGUAACUAUGACCUCAUCACACGGGUUCUACACCAGCGUGCAAGGUAACUAUGACCUCAUCACAGAGGUUCUACACCAGCGUGCAAGGUAACUAUGACCUCAUCACAGAGGUUCUACACCAGCGUGCAAGGUAACUAUGACCUCA